rnacentral:lncRNA from 1 species
CAAACAAGAAGAAGAGAGAGAUAAAAGGAGUGGGCGAUGCCAAGGGCCUUCAGCUGCCCUGAAAUAGGCCCAUAAGCAAUACAUCCGAGCCGAAGCAAAUAAAAAAAGAAAGGGGGGCUGCCUUAUUUCCCCUGCAGAUUAAAAAAGCCAUUGAAGGAUGAAAAACUGGGCACCUGCUGCUCGGCGCCGGCACCGCCGCCUUCCCCAUGUCCGACAUUCGGCAACACCGGCUCCGCCUGAGCUCUGGCUUCAUCAUAGUGGAUAGCUGUGAAAUAGACCAACGCCUCUCGCAUGCUUCUUCGAUGAUUUCAAGGCUAGAUCGGCGGUCCCAAUUCCUCCCAUGCACCCAUGCACCUUCGGCAUCGAGCCCGGCUAGGUCAAUGGCCCUGAGCUCCUCCAGAUCCGAGCUCACUCGUGCCUCAACUAAUGACUUUGGCCCUUCCGACCUCGUCGGAUCUGGGCUUCUGAGGCCACGACCAUAAGGUCUUCUCCGCACACACCUCCGACCUUGCCGAGG